GACGAACGCUGGCGGCGUGCCUAAUACAUGCAAGUGGGACGCAAGGAAACACACUGUGCUUGCACACCGUGUUUUCUUGAGUCGCGAACGGGUGAGUAACGCGUAGGUAACCUGCCUAUUAGCGGGGGAUAACUAUUGGAAACGAUAGCUAAUACCGCAUAAUAUUCAUUAUUGCAUGAUAAUUGAUUGAAAGAUGCAAGCGCAUCACUAGUAGAUGGACCUGCGUUGUAUUAGCUAGUUGGUAAGGUAAGAGCUUACCAAGGCGACGAUACAUAGCCGACCUGAGAGGGUGAUCGGCCACACUGGGAAUGAGACACGGCCCAGACUCCUACGGGAGGCAGCAGUAGGGAAUCUUCGGCAAUGGACGAAAGUCUGACCGAGCAACGCCGCGUGAGUGAAGAAGGUUGUCGGAUCGUAAAGCUCUGUUGUAAGUCAAGAACGUGUGUGAGAGUGGAAAGUUCACACAGUGACGGUAGCUGACCAGAAAGGGACGGCUAACUACGUG
rnacentral:rRNA from 1 species